rnacentral:rRNA from 1 species
AUGCGGCAGCUUCGGCUCAUCACCAACAUGAGGGCUCAUAAUGACACGUGGUUUGCAAAUUACUUGCUAAGGGUCGGCAAUGGCACUGAGGAAGUCGACGAUCAAGGCAACAUACUACUCCCUGAAGACAUUUGUCUGCCGUCUACAGGCGAGGUUGACGACCUGGAGAAGCUUAUUCACCACGUGUUUUCGAGUCUAGAUGACAACAUGUCUGAUUCAAAUUACAUGACAUCCCGAGCAAUCCUUUCCAUGACAAACGACAAUGUCGACAAGAUAAACAUCCGCAUGAUAGAG